GAUGAACGCUGGCGGCGUGCUUAACACAUGCAAGUCGAACGAAGCACCUUGAUUUGAUUCUUCGGAUGAAGAUCUUGGUGACUGAGUGGCGGACGGGUGAGUAACGCGUGGGUAACCUGCCUCAUACAGGGGGAUAACAGUGAGAAAUGACUGCUAAUACCGCAUAAGACCACAGCACCGCAUGGUGCAGGGGUAAAAACUCCGGUGGUAUGAGAUGGACCCGCGUCUGAUUAGGUAGUUGGUGGGGUAACGGCCUACCAAGCCGACGAUCAGUAGCCGACCUGAGAGGGUGACCGGCCACAUUGGGACUGAGACACGGCCCAAACUCCUACGGGAGGCAGCAGUGGGGAAUAUUGCACAAUGGGGGAAACCCUGAUGCAGCGACGCCGCGUGAGCGAUGAAGUAUUUCGGUAUGUAAAGCUCUAUCAGCAGGGAAGAAAAUGACGGUACCUGACUAAGAAGCACCGGCUAAAUACGUGCCAGCAGCCGCCGCCG
rnacentral:rRNA from 1 species